CCUCACCUCCGGAGCACUCCGCCCAGCAGCGACGCGUUGAGACACUCGGGUGGUGAGAGCCGCCGCUGCACUUCCGCCACCGUGACCUUGUACUUCGAGGUGGAGCUGAGGAGCGAGAGGCGACCCGGAACUGAACAGAAGACUUCGUUGGGGUUCACCACGCCGCCGAAGAGGUUGUCCUUGUUAAUAGGGAUGGCGGAGACGGCAUUGCUGUUGGACUUGGACAGGGACACGGGGCCUGCGGAGACAGAGGGGAGGCCGCGUGUUGGGCGUCGUGGAUCACCCCCAAAUCCUGCCCGACCCCGGCCCUCAUCCCGGCCAGGGCCGGAUCCCAGGCUUUGGGCCACAGUCCCCGCUUUUCCGUCCGGCUCUGAAAUUCUGUGGCUCUGCUACUUCCCUUCCUCGGGCUCGAGCCCUUCCCUACCUCACCCGGCGGCCGGGAGGCGGCCCUGCCCUCCCCCAGCCAGCCUGGCCUGCGUUUCUGCCUUGACCCUUUCCCCUUCGCCGUCAAGGGUGCUCUCUAGAGAUGGGUGGUGAAAUUGGUGACCCCUGAGGCGCUGAGCAUCCGAGCGGAGUGGGCCCCAGAUGAGGUCCAGGACCACGGGUUCAGGGUGCAGGGGAGGGAAUUACAUUUGCAAACCGAGAGCAAGUUACUUGUACUUCAGGGGUUUUGCUGGGUGGGGUUUUAGUGUCGGGGAAAAACUGCUUCAAAGACCCAUUAUUAAAAUCAGCCGACAAUUUAGAUGGCUAAAGCACCCUGUAAACGAGCGUUUUAAUUGAGGCACCACGCUGGGAAGUGGUGGAUUUUGUUGUCCACACCACACGUCCCGUCUUUUUGAUAAAUAGGCCCUUUCCUAUGUUCAAUUUUGAAAACGUCUCAGUUUUGGAGAUCCAUUCCAAGGCCAGUUUUGAACUGCGGAGUGGGGAGGGAAGAACAGGCCUACAGUGGAAUACUAGCAAUGUGCCCUUUUGUUAAGUAAAUACUUAACAGUCCUCUGCUAAAGCGCCUUUAUUGGGAAAGUGGGUAUAUAUACUUCCUAGUUAAAACCAUAAGCUCUUUAUUGCUGGACUCACCACUGUUAGAAAAAAAAAAAAUAGAAGACCUGCAGAAAGUAUACUAAUGCAUUACGUUUCUCAGCACCAGUGUAAUUCAGAUGCAUUCACAACCAUUUAAGUACAGUAUGCAUUGUAUUUUAAAAUUCCAUUUGGAGACAUCAUAUGCACACAAUCUCAUCACAGUGUUCCUUAUGCGUUCUUUAAUGGGGAUAUGCUAGAGGUAUAGGGAGGUGGGGGGCUCUAGGUUUUGGAUAGAUCACUUGUGACAUUAAUAGCUCUGGGGAGGCUAAUAGAGACAAUAGGAGUUAAACGAACUCUUGAGAGAUUACUAAUAAAAGAGCCAAUUAUCAUGUCGACUUGGAAAGAGCAUCUCUUAAGAUUUAUCCCUUGCACAUCUAAUUUGACGUGACAAAGACUUCACAGAUGCAAAAAUGAAACUUUAAACUAGCUAACAAUAUACUGAUUGGGGUUAGAAAUGAGAACAGUUUUAUAUAGCAUCGUCCUCUGGUGGUGCCUAGAAUCCUGAAAUGUAACAUUGCCACCAUAACCAAAAAAAAAGCUGCUACCAAGAGUGAAUAGCAUUUAAUUCAGUAAACUUUAUUUCUACUCACUAAACACAAUACAGAUUACAAAUCCAUGCAAAUCACUUGACACUUUUCUAACAAUUUCUCCUCUGAACAAGUAUGCUAAUAUUCCUCCCAUCUUCAAGAUACUAAUUUUAACCAAAAGCUAAAAUUUUGUUAACCUAAUUCACAAAGUUCUAAGACCCUUAAACAGCUAACAAGAAACUAAAUUGAAGAACAUGAAUGUUUUUUUCCUCUACUAAAGAGUGCUUCUUAUCAUCUGUUCUUACAUUAAUGUUAAAUUAUUUGUACUAUUUUAGCAUUAUACACUUCUUAACCUUCAUCCAGGCAAUGGAUUAAACUAUCAAACUGUUUCAAAAUUGAAAUGCCACUUCCAAAUCAGUUCAACUACUGUACAUUUUGUGUGUUUGUCCAAAUAUCAUUAAACUAAAUUAAAUGGUCAAAUCAUGAGUCAGAACAAAGCUAGCCUGUUGGCAUUACCAACAUACUGAAGGCUGAUUAUUUAAGCAUUGCUGUUCUGUGCCUAUCUAUUUGCUAAUUCUGAGCCUUUAGGAAAUCCUAUUUGGAAAAAAUAAACACAUCUCUGCAAGUUCUUUUAAAUAGCACUCUGCCUGUAAGGACAUGCUUGGAAUGCAGAAGGAAAUGGCUUACCUUUCUUAAUUACAGUUUGAUCUGGGAUGUUAAUACCCGGGUCUUCUACAUGCUGCAACAAAAGGAUACACAUGGAUGUAAGUGUAUCAUCAAAACAAAAGGAAAUGAAUAUUCCCUGCAAGAUGGGAGGAGGGGAAGGUGUAGAAUCAAAAUUCCCCCUCCCGUAUAAUGACAUUUAUAUAUAAACAUCUCAUCUUGGCUUAUUGGAAUUUGGGGCUUUGCAACUCAAGAGGUUUCACUGCACACCCAUGGCCAAUUUCUCCUCCUCCAGCAAAUAAUCCAUGUUUAAAAGGGGUGGAGAUGGGGAAUAAAACUUUCUUUGGAAAUUAAAUCAAGUGUUGGAGCACCUAAUCAUUCUCAGUCAGUUCAACAUUUAGAAAUGUACCUAGCUUUAGAUUGGCGCCUCAGCGGCUUCUGACUUUAGCAAUUCCAGUGUUCAGGCAGCGAAAGCCAGGGAAACACAAUAGAAAUGACAGGGGCGGGAGUAACAGGAGAGUGUUGGAAAAGAAAAGGUUUAGGUAGUAUAAUAAAGAGCAAACACACACACCUUUAUGGAAAACUCCACAUAAAUUUUUAGAAAGACUACUGCCUAAGCCUGGGUAUGAUAGGAAUAUGAAAAUGACCAAAACCAAAAAACCUUUGAGCUUGCUUUCCUGUUGUCCAACAGCAGGUUUGUUGUUAGUGUGGGGUGUUUUUCUUUUUCUUUUCUUUUUUUUUUUUUUUUUUACAGAUGGAUGGGUAUACGUGUGCGCACUAGAGUCAAAACGUGAUUAGAAAGUAAAAUGAAGUCAUGUUUUCUAAUGCAGAAACUGACAGGCAAUAUAAUGUCUGGCUGUGUUUACAAAUUAGCACCAGGGCUGCUGAGAUAGAAGAUUUUGCAAUCAUUACCAAACACAGGCAUUACCAUUUAAAAAACUAUUGCUUCCUUCUCUAGUCUUUGUCCAACAAUAAUACUGAUUCGAACAUUUUCCAUUCUGUCUUGGAUUUAUGCUCCUGUUAAUUGUGCCUGAUCGCAAUGAUUCCGGGUGGAUGGUACUAAGUUGCUUUAUUACAGGUUUUAUUAUACUCAAUGCUCUCAUUUGUAACUUGCCUAAAGUGCUUCUGGAUUUAAGUAUAAUUAAAUUGAGAAAUGUUCA
ensembl:lncRNA TFAP2A-AS2 TFAP2A antisense RNA 2